rnacentral:rRNA from 1 species
UACGGAGGGGGCUAGCGUUGUUCGGAAUUAUUGGGCGUAAAGCGCGCGCAGGCGGUCCUUUAAGUCUGAUGUGAAAGCCCACGGCUCAACCGUGGAGGGUCAUUGGAAACUGGGGGACUUGAGUGCAGAAGAGGAAAGCGGAAUUCCACGGUGUAGCGGUGAAAUGCGUAGAGAUGUGGAGGAACACCAGUGGCGAAGGCGGCUUUCUGGUCUGUAACUGACGCUGAGGCCGCGAAAGCGUGGGGAGCAAACAGG